rnacentral:rRNA from 1 species
CGGACUUCGUGAUGAAAGAGGAGACGCAGAAGAAGAUCCGCGUUUCGGCAGCCGAUACCUUAUGUCAUCAUUAAACGUGAAGAUGAAGUUUUUCUUUACGAGCGGCUGGAUCACCUCCUUAACCGGGGCUAAUACCGGAUGGUUGUUUGAACCGCAUGGUUCAAACAUAAAAGGUGGCUUCGGCUACCACUUACAGAUGGACCCGCGGCGCAUUAGCUAGUUGGUGAGGUAACGGCUCACCAAGGCAACGAUGCGUAGCCGACCUGAGAGGGUGAUCGGCCACACUGGGACUGAGACACGGCCCAGACUCCUACGGGAGGCAGCAGUAGGGAAUCUUCCGCAAUGGACGAAAGUCUGACGGAGCAACGCCGCGUGAGUGAUGAAGGUUUUCGGAUCGUAAAGCUCUGUUGUUAGGGAAGAACAAGUACCGUUCGAAUAGGGCGGUACCUUGACGGUACCUAACCAGAAAGCCACGGCUAACUACGUGCCAGCAGCCGCGGUAAUACGUAGGUGGCAAGCGUUGUCCGGAAUUAUUGGGCGUAAAGGGCUCGCAGGCGGUUUCUUAAGUCUGAUGUGAAAGCCCCCGGCUCAACCGGGGAGGGUCAUUGGAAACUGGGGAACUUGAGUGCAGAAGAGGAGAGUGGAAUUCCACGUGUAGCGGUGAAAUGCGUAGAGAUGUGGAGGAACACCAGUGGCGAAAGCGACUCUCUGGUCUGUAACUGACGCUGAGGAGCGAAAGCGUGGGGAGCGAACAGGAUUAGAUACCCUGGUAGUCCACGCCGUAAACGAUGAGUGCUAAGUGUUAGGGGGUUUCCGCCCCUUAGUGCUGCAGCUAACGCAUUAAGCACUCCGCCUGGGGAGUACGGUCGCAAGACUG